rnacentral:rRNA from 1 species
CAUGUCUUUUUGAUAAUAAUUUAAAGUCUGACCUGCUCAAUGAAUUUAGAAUUUAAAUAGCUGUGGUAUUUUGACCAUACUAAGGUAGCAUAAUCAUUAGUUUCUUAAUUAGUAACUGGAAUGAAUGGUUGGACGAAAAAUUUACUGUCUCAAUUUAAAUUAUAUAGAAUUUUAUUUUUAAGUUAAAAAGCUUAAAUAAAUUUAAAAGACGAGAAGACCCUAUAGAGUUUUAUAUAAUUUUUUUUAAUUUUAAAAUUUAUAGUAUAUUAUUUUAUUAAUAUAAAAUUGUAUUUUAUUGGGGUGAUAGAAAAAUUGAAUAAACUUUUUUUAAAAAAUUUACAUUAAUAUAUGUUUAAUUGAUCCAUUAUUUAUGAUUAUAAGAUUAAAUUACCUUAGGGAUAACAGCGUUAUUUUUUUUAGAGUUCUUAUCGAAUAAAAAGUUUGCGACC